rnacentral:lncRNA from 1 species
CAUUUUACAAUCUCUACUGCAAUUGUUUCAGAGUGUAUUUUGGAGGAGGUGGAAAUAUGGCAAAAAAAAAAAAAAAAAGGAAUGGGUAUAUUCAGAGCUGGUGCUGACUGCUGUAAUUGUGUUGAGGUCAGCAGGUUAAGGAUGUGGCCCAGUGGCAGCUCCUAAGCCCUACUUAAUCUAAGUCCUACCAGUUCUCCAGAAGGAUGGAGAAAUCAGAGCACAUGGUCUCUUCCAUGAACUCUGGUCUGCAGUUAAAUCCAUGCCAUAGCUCUUAUCAGGAGGACGUUGCAUCCCCAUUUGGCCAAGCACCACCAGGUGUGUAUAAGCCAGGUUGUUUUUCUACAUAAAGUUCUUGACUUCAAAAUAAAAGCAGCUUACAUACUUGCAGCAACAUCAGACAGACAAAAGCAGAAGCACUAUGGGUUACGCAUACAUUUUUCUGCAGAUUUAGGCUGAGGUCUCUCACCAUUCAGCAAUAAUUGUCCUCCCCAAAAUGAAGUGACUGCUCAUGGGAUGCAGCGUGGCUACACUUCCACCCAUGUGUCCUGCAGUAAGAAGGAAAAAAGCAGAAGCGUUGCUUUAGUUUCAGCAACAGUGAAGACUGAAGUGAACCAUGGAGCAACUACCCACAAAGAAUCCAGGUGUCAAAAAAGAGUCGCACAAGUGCACUGAGGCCAUAAGAAGCUGAACAGCAGAAGUCAUUUAAUCCUCAGUGCUGCAUUUUAUCCACAACAUUGGGCCUUCAACAGCCCAUAAACCUUCAGGUACAUUUCCAGAGCUGGUUACUGCUGUUCCACAGCCAGGCAAUUUGCAGAUAACACAGGCGAUUCGCUCGGGAGCAGCCUGCUGGCGUGCUCAGGCCCUGCUCCUUUUUUCCUUUCAGUUCACAGAGCAUCUCCCGUGCUCUGACAAAUGCACAGCUCUUCUCUGCCUGCUCUCAGAGCAGCAGCUUGGAGAAGAUGUCGGACCAGAGACAAGGUCAAGCUUGGAGAGAAAUCAGCCUGCUCCAUCCUUGACCCGUCAUUCAUCACUGCAUUUGUCUACAGCCAAACAACCCAGCUGGUAAACAGGAAAAAAAAAAAAAAAAAAACCUUAUCUGAGCUCUAAAAGGUUCCCAUUUCUGCUAUGGAGAACUUUAUUAAUAACACUCUCCGGAAAGCACCAGGAGUUCUGAUGGACAGCUUUGCAGGGACAUUUUUCAACAGAGAAGCUUUAAAUCCUAUAUCUAUGCACCCAAUAAGCAGGCUGGAGGAGACAAGAGGUUAAUUUUGCAGACAGCAAAUGGUGACUGUGUAAGUUAUUAGGGAGGGGAAUAUGCUUUAGAUGUUAUGGGGAUAUAUGAGCCUUGCCUUCACCUUUCCUCAUGUAUCAUGCUGCAUGCCAUCACAGAUGUGUUAGCACGUCCACACUUUAUGCAGGUCCCCUCAAAUUACUGGGCAAUAAUUAGAAUUGCCAAAUGCUCGCUCUUCGCACUGCUUUCACAGGACGAGGCACAGUUCUUAAAAUGCAC